rnacentral:lncRNA from 1 species
GUGAGUAUCAUCCAUUGCAACAUCAAGCCCUGCAACAUACUCUUGGAUGAUUCAUUGACUGCAAAGAUUUCGGAUUUCGGAUUGGCAAAGCUAUUGAGGCCUAAUCAAAGAAGCAGUACAAGUGGAGCAGCAUGGUACUCGGCACCUGAAUGGCAAAACAGUGCAGUGUUAUCGGUAAAAGUUGAUGUAUACAGUUUCGGAGUGAUACUGUUGGAGAUGAUAUGUUGCAGAAGCAACAUAGAAGUAGAAGGUCGCAGUGCAGAUGAGAUACUGCUUUCAACAUUUGUAUACAAUUGCUUUGUUGGGGGAGAGUUGAAUAAGCUCGUGGAAGGUGAAGAAGAAGUGGACAUGAAAAUGGUGGAAAGGUUUGUGAAGGUGGGGCUUUGGUGCAUUCAAGAUGAUCCAAAUUUGCGUCCACUCGUGAAGAAUGUGAUCUUGAUGCUAGAAGGAACAAUGAAUGUACCGAUCCCUCCAUCUCCAUCACUUCCCCAUGUUACUAAUUAAUAUUUUUAACUUUGAAGUUGGGUUUAUUUUAAUUAUGUUUUUCAUGUAAUUAAUAAUAAUUAGAGGAGUAAUUUUUAAAAUAAAAUUUUGGAAACUAUCUGGUUGUUACAAAGAAGGACAUUUUAUGUUCUAUGCAUCAAUUAUCAUGUGAUAAGUGAAAGGUCUCUAAUCUAUACAUCAUUUAUAAUAUUAAAAGUAUACAUGGUUUUUUCCAUUGUUUUCACUUAUGUGUUGUGUUGAAAAAUUAAAUGUUAACAUCUUAAAUACUUACAAAAUCAAUGUGGUAUGUUUGUUAAAUUUAAGUAUAUGAUUAAAUUGUUUGAUAAAGGAUAGCUUUAGGUGUGUUUCUAAUAACUUUAGAGCUCUAAACAAAAUCUUUAAAAAAAUUAUCUUUCGGUCUCACUUGCCUAGAUAUUCCUUUAGGGGCAUUACUUCCUAACUUUUUAGGCCUACUCAAUUUAGUUCAAUUUAGUUCAAUUUAUUAUAAUUUAGUCCUUUUUUUCCAAAAAUUAGCUUACCUACAUUUCCAUCAACCAAAUCCUUUUUUAGGUUUAGCUAUUUAUGCUGCAAAUAAAGAGAAUGAACAUGGAAAUGAAAAGCAAACAAAACAUUGAAGUUAAGAAAAAAAAUGAAAGUUUGGAUUUUUUUUUAUGCAAGAAAACUUAAAGAACAUAAAACUAAAGGCAUUCAACAAGGAAAUCUAAAGCAAUAAAUAGAAAAGGAAUAAACUUUAACAAAUUUAAAGUAAAAGAAACUGAAAUGCAUUAAACUAAAGUUAGAAAUGUCUUACAGCUAAGGUAUAGGGAUUGGAAGUGCAAAUAAACUUAAGCUAUAGUAAUAACUAACUUAACUACCACUAAGAACAACUAAGAACAGCUAAAAUAAGAAAGAAAAUUGUUGGGAAAUGUAAAAUCUACCGCUAAAGAAAUGAAAAUAAAAAAAAAAACCCUAGAGAAAGAAGAAUAAAAGCUAAGAGAAAACCUAGAGAAAACUAAGGCUAAAACUAAACUAAUGUGUGUCUCCUCUCCUCAGCCAAAAUUGGUUAUUUUAGGCUGAAUGCUAAUGGUACUUCGUUGCCAAAAUUGCCCUUACAUGGGCCUUGGGUGAUUGGUGGAUCAGGUAGAAAAAGACUACUCUUUUUAUCCAAUUUUGUCCCCCUCACAAUGUUGGUGUCACGAUACCUAGAAGAGGAUAUCUUGACUCCUCAAGUAGUUUCGAACCUUAGGGUCUUCUUUGAGGGUGGAUAUCGUGAUACCACUAAAAGGUGGUCUCCCAUCUUUCCAUACUGUUGGAGGCAUUGCGAUUUCAAGGUAUGGGAAUAGAGAUACAUUUUCCUUUGGUGUUGUUUUCGCUCGUUUUCAACCUCAGCACGUUCUUACACCACUCAACCAAAUGUUAGGCCCCCCAAUAGUACUAUUGGCCAAAUCUGAUCAUAAAAUGAGUAAAAAUAAGACAUUUACACUUAUUAACUUAAAAUGUAAAAAGUACGAAAAAGUAUGAAAAACGCUAUUUUGCUCGAGAAUAAGGUCCUUAAGUAUAUCGGCAAAGUCUAAUUUUCCAUAUAAAAUUAUGGUAGAUCAAACUCCCCCACAUUUAACUCUUUGCUUGUACUCAAGCAAACCAAACAUGCAAAAGAAAAGACGACUCUUGGACUAAAUCAGACAAUUAAGUCAUAUAUCUGUAAAACAUCAAACUCGUACGGGAACUGCCUCACAUGCAACUUAAGAGUGAUAUCUAGAUAACUUGUUUAUUCUUAAUACAAACAUAAUUAGUUCACUAAGUUAUAAUGUUAAUAGAUGUAGAGGCAAUGAAAAUUAACAUAUGUACAAAUGUUAUCCAUCAAAAUAAAUUAUGCUAAUUGCUCAUAGUUACUUAAAAAACAAAUUGGUCAUAUUCGUUCAAACAAAUGUAGACUAUUUACAAAUUAUUAUAUUGGUGACAUAGAUUGUGUUUAGUAAUGCCUUUUAGAAGUACUUUUGAUAUGAAAAACACUUUUGAAACAAAAAGAAUGCUAAACAAGAUAUUUUUUGCUGAAAUUUUUUGCUUUCAAGAGUACUUUUGAAAAAAAAAGAAACUAAAAUUUUUAAUUUUUCUUCUCCCAAAAACACGUUCAGUGCAUAAUUACUUUUUUCACCUCUCUAAUAAUAUAGUACUUUCUCUUCUUUUUUUUUCUCUGGUGCUUAAUUACAAAUAUAUUAAAAUUAUUAAUUAAAAAUAAAAAAAUAUUUUUAAAAUAAUACAAAUGUGUUAAUAUCUAAUUACAAAUAUUUAAUGGUUAUUUGAGUAUGGCCGGUAAUUUCUUUGCAGCAGAUACGGGUGCCAAACAGUCGAGGAUUCGGCAUGAGCUUCACUUGUUGAAGAAAGGUAAUCUUUCUAUUAAGGCGUAUGUUGCUCCGAUUAAAGAUUUGUGUGCUAUGUUAGAUGCUUCUGGAUCUCGUAUCUCUGAUGAAGAGAAGGUCGAAGUGGUGCUGGCGGGGUUGCCGUCGAAAUUUGAGGCGGUUAUCUCCUCUGCUCGAUUGUCGUCUACAGUUUUGCCGUUACAACGCUUGGUGGAUGCGUUGGUUGAUUGUGAGAGUCGUCACGAACAAGUGUUCCAGGAAGUCAGUUUGAACGCGAACCUUGUUGAGGAUGCACCGUCGGUUGAAGGAGUCAGUCGUGGAGGCCGUGCGUCUGUUCGUGGACGUGGUAGAACGUUCCGAUCUCGCAUACAAUGCCAGAUCUGUAGUCGAUUUGGUCAUGUGGCUCAGAAGUGUUACUAUCGUUACCAUAGAGACUCGAGUGACUCAUCCGUGGUGCCGUCGGUCUCUCAUCAAAAGACUCAGUCGGGUGUUGAGAGAGCUAAUUUUGGACUGGGUGUGCAAGAAGAAGACGAACAGUGUGUGGCCCCUUAUCACAAAAGUCAAAGAACAAUUUAUGGUCAAAAUAGAAAUGGUGGUCAAAAUUGGAGUAAUGGCCAAAGUCAAAAUAGAAAUGGUGGUCAAAAUUGGGGUGCUGGCAUGCAAAGUGAAAAAGUGGCACGUGGGCCCCAGGUGUCUUUUGCAAAUGAAUAUGGCAGGCCAUUUGGAAACAAUUUUCAAUCAAAUUUGCGUCAGUAUGGUAAUGAUGAUGGGCCUAUUUUUAAUCAAAAUGGGUUUACUAGUAAUGCGCCACUGGACCUUGAUAAUGGGAAUGGCAGACGUGUGUUGCAAGGGCCGAAUUUGAUAAGUUCUUCACAUGGGCCGACUGUUGGCCCAAAUGCAAAUGGGGUUCCGUCUUCUAAUUUUGUUCAAGUUGAUCAGAGUGAUCCUAGUUCGCCUGAACCGAUUGGAGUCGAUCGGGUUAUGCGAGUUACCAAACCGCGUGCUCGGGUUUAUACUGGGUUCGAACCCUGUAUUGGACUUCCCCGGCUAGGGGACUUACAUGCAUCUAAUUAUUCUGAUUCUUCGGUGUCCGGCUCUCAUGUCAACAAUGCUCAACUUGGGUUCGGUACUGGUCAUGAUGAUCCGUAUGUUCCAAUGUAUGGUGGCACCACAUCUUGGUAUCCUGACUCGGGGGCAAGUCAUCAUGUCUGUCGCGAUGUGUUUGCUUUACGUGAUGUCUCGCCAUAUUCAGGUACGUCAUCUCUUUUAAUGGGCGAUGGUACUCCUGCGAUAAUUUCGUCAAUUGGUACUGCUAUUUUUUCUACCCAGUAUAAAUUGUUACGACUAUCAAAUGUUUUAUGUGUGCCGAGUAUACGAAAAAAUCUCUUGUCUGUCUCACAGUUUUCUCGUGAUAAUGGUGUGUUUUUUGAGUUUCACCCUACCUACUGCGUUAUUAAGGAUAUGGUGACACGGGAGAUAUUGCUGACGGGCCGCAUUCGUGAUGGUUUAUAUCAGUUUUCUAUACCAGUGGUUUCUACUUCACCUCCGACUGCUCCAUUUGUUGCUCAUUCGCAAGUUCCGCAUAAUGUUUCGACUACUUCUGUGUUUGCUUUAUGGCAUAAUCGUUUAGGCCACCCGUCAACUUCUGUGGUAAAAAAUAUUCUAAAUAAAUGUAAUGUUGUUUCAAAUAAAACUAGUCUGGAUGGUAUAUGUACUGCAUGUCAAAAAGGCAGGUCACAUAAGUUGCCUUUCUCCCCUUCGACUACUAGCUAUCAUCCUUUUGAGUUGGUCGUGUCUGAUCUUUGGGGUCCUGCACCCGUUGCAUGUGGUGAUAAGAGAUAUUAUGUUUCGUUUAUUGAUAUGUGUACCAGAUUUACUUGGGUUUAUCUUUUACGUCAAAAAGCUCAAGCAUUAGAAUGUUUUACUAAUUUUCAACAGUUGAUUAAGACACAGUUUGGCAAGUCUAUUAAGCAGUUUCAGAGCGAUUGGGGAGGUGAAUACCGUGGGUUUACAUCUGUCUUAGAAUCUCAGGGGAUCAUACAUCGACUGACCUGUCCGUAUACUUCCGAACAAAAUGGAGUAGCUGAGCGAAAACAUCGUCACAUUGUUGAAAUGGGGAUUACGUUGUUGGCUCAUGCAAAUUUGCCUAUGGAAUACUGGGGGUAUGCGUUUUGUUGUGCGGUUCAUCUUAUAAAUCGACUUCCCACAGUUGUACUUCAGGAUAGUUCUCCGUUUAAGGAACUGUAUGGAAGCGAUCCGACCUAUGAUCAUCUUCGAGUGUUUGGUUGCUGUUGUUAUCCUUACUUACGUCCGUUUGUGGGUCGUAAGUUGGAAUUUCGGUCUCAGCCGUCUAUUUUUUUGGGCUACAGUCCUCGUCAUAAGGGGUAUCAAUGUCUUUUACCAGAUGGUAAGGUUAUAAUUUCAAGGCAUGUGGUCUUUGAUGAGCAGAGGUUUUUGUUUGCUGAAACUAGUUCAGACAAUUUUGUCUCAACGACCAGUUAGACUAGUUCGACAGUUGUUCCUCUCGUGUGGCCAUCUUUCUCCUCAACUCUUGAGCCAUGUAUGAUGGCACCGUCUGUACAAGGGGUGCUGUCUCAGUCUACUGAUCCUGUAUUAGAUGUUAGUGUGGAGCAGCCCCAGUCUCAUGAUCCUUCAGCUGAUGUUAGGACUGGGUCAGGUAGUUUUCCAGCUCAUGAUUAUUCAGCUAAUGAUGGAACUGAGUUGAGUGAUCUUCCAGCAGAGCGUGGCUCGGGAUCCUCAGGUGAUACCAAUGCUCCCUCUUCGUCUAAUAUGGGACUGUCUGCAGGUGUUUCGUCGGUAUCUGAUAGUCCGAUUAAUAGGACACCUGUGGGCAAUAUUCACCCAAUGGUCACUCGCGCUAAAGCAGGGGUUUACAAGCCUAAGGUUUUAAGUGUUGAAGUUGUUGAACCAACUACAAUUGAAGAAGCUCUGGCUACUGUUGAGUGGCGCACUGCUGCGCAAGAUGAGUAUGAUGCUCUUAUGCGUAAUUCCAUAUGGGAGCUUGUUCCUGCUCCAUAUAAUCGUAAGGUCAUUGGGUGCAAAUGGUUGUUCCGAGUCAAGAAGAAUUCUGAUGGUACUACUGCUCGAUAUAAGGCUCGCUUAGUUGUAAAAGGUUGCUCUCAAGUUUCGGGUUGUGAUUUUAAGGAAACGUUUAGUCCAGUGGUUAAACCGGCUACUAUCAGGGUUAUUUUGUCUAUUGCUGUGUCUAGGGGGUGGUCGCUUCGGCAAGUGGAUGUGAAUAAUGCGUUUCUAAAUGGUGACCUUGACACUAAAGUUUUUAUGCAUCAACCUCCCGGUUAUGUUCAAUAUGGCUCAGAUGGCAGACCUUUGGUAUGUCGUCUGAAGAAAGCGUUGUAUGGUCUUCGUCAGGCUCCUCGUGCCUGGUUUGAAUGGCUAAAAGGAUUUCUAGUCUCUGUGGGGUUUGUGGUUUCAAAGUCUGAUGCUUCUUUAUUUGUUCGAGUUGUACCAGCUUCAACGUUGUAUGUGCUUGUGUACGUUGAUGAUAUUAUUAUUACUGGUGAUGUGCCUUCUGUUAUAGAGUGGUUUGUUAAAUUGCUGAAUAGUGAGUUCUCGCUUAAGGACAUGGGUGAUCUUCAUUAUUUUCUUGGGAUAGAGGUUAAUCGUUCUUCGUCAGGUUGUCUUCAUCUUUGUCAGAAGAAGUAUAUACGUGAUAUUCUUAUAUGUUGUUCGAUGGAGAAUGCAAAGAGUGUUCAUACACCGAUGGUUAGUUCCUCUGUUAUGACUCGUGAUGGUGGUGAGCGGUUACAGGAUCCGACUGAAUACAGGAGUCUUGCAGGAGCAUUACAGUAUGUCACUCUUACGCGGCCUGAUGUUGCCUAUGCUGUUAAUCGAAUAUGUCAAUUUAUGCAUUGUCCUACUUCCAUUCAUAUGACCGCUCUGAAGCGCAUUUUGAGGUAUUUAGGUGGUACGAUUGAUUUUGGAAUUGUGUUUCGUUCGUCCACCAAUUUGUCCUUAGUUGGAUAUGCUGAUGCAAACUGGGGAUUAGAUUUUGAUGACCGGAGGUCCACUACUGGAUACUGUGUUUAUUUCGGACAUACACCUGUGUCAUGGUGUACGAAGAAACAACAGGUUGUUGCUCGGUCUACUGCUGAGGCAGAAUACUGAAGUCUUGCCGCAGUUACUUGUGAGGUUACGUGGCUUUUGUCGCUACUUCAAGAAUUACAUGUUCAGUUUAAUAGUGUUCCCCAUAUUUGGUGUGACAGUUCUGGGGCGGUUGCAGUUGCUGCGAAUCCUGUUCUUCAUUCAAAGUUUAAGCAUGUUGAGUUAGAUUUAUUUUUUGUUCGUGAAAAGGUUGCCGAUGGCACUGUUGCCGUUGGAGAAGUUCCAGCGUGUGAUCAGGUCGCUGAUGUUCUUACUAAGCCACUUUUGUUGUCGAAUUUUACUCGUUUUCGGAGUUUUCUACGGGUCUUGCCUGUGGGGAAGAUGGAUGAAUAUUAGAGAAUAGAAGUAGUUAGUCAGUUAGUGAGGUUGUUACUCAAUUUAGAACGUCUAUAAAUACUGUACAUUAAGAAUUAAGAAGUAAGAAAUUUGAAUAAACAAACAAGAAGUUUAUUCUAUUAUUCUCUACAUUUCACUCUCUGUUUGGAUAGAUAUUUUUAUUUUUUAGCUAGUUCUUUCAUUUGCUAACAAAAAUUAUUAGUGGUAGAAGAAGUGGCAAGAUCAGUUUCAACUACUUCACGCAUGAAAAUAAAACCUCAGAAAAAGCUUGAGAAACCUACAUUAAAUUUAUCACCAUUUUUCCUCAUAAAGUUGUCUAUAUAUAUCAAAAUAUAAAAGGAUAUGUUAUUAGAAAUGGUGGUAUUUGAUUAUACAUUUUAGUAUAGGAUUUAGGAAUGAGAUUUUGGUAUAUAAAAAAACCUAAUGAUUUUCCAUGAAAAUAUUGAUAUUCCCUUAGAAAUUUUGGUAUAUAAUAAGAUAUUUAAAGAUGUGCUUUUAGAAAUUUUAAUAUUUCGGCCGAUUGAGUCAUAAUUCGAUUGACAUACACAAUGUUAUUAAUAUAUAUAAGAGGACGUGGGUUCGAGUGUAUCCUCCUAUUUAUGGUUAGAGAGAGGCUAUGGAUAGUUCAAGCUCAACCUAUUAAGAAUAUUAAUAAGAAAUAAAUAUUAUUAAAUUAUUUUUAUUUAUUUUAAUAUUAUUAUAAAUUUAAUAUAUUUUAUUUAAAUAUAAUUAAAAAACGAAUUUAUGAAAAAAUGAUUAAAAUUUUCAAAAAAAGAUGAUUGUUUAUAAUUAAAAAACUAAUUACGUAAUAUUAUUUUAUUAAUAUUUUAAAAUUAUACUUUUUAGUAUUAUCUAAAAGAAAAAGAGAGAAGUAAACUAAAAAAGGAAAUGCCGUGUUCGCAACUACAUCCUCCCUCCCAUUGAAAAGGAAAAAUUAUUAGAUUGAGCCUUGGAGUUCUCACCGCCUAAAUUAUAAGUCUAAUCAAUUGAAGUAACACACAUCAUGUAUUUUGUUUUAUAAAAGAAAUUGUAUGAUACUAUAGUUUUACGUUAUUUUAUUUUGUUAAUAAGUGAAUGAUAAAUCAUAUGUUUCUCUUAAUUUUUAAAUUUUAAAAAAAAUUAAAUUUAAUUAAAAAUACUAAAAAGUUAAAGAAAAAAAUCUAAUUUUUUAUUUUUUUAUUAAAAAGAGAUAAAAAUAAGGUGUAAUUAUGGAAUUGGAAAUUUUGAUUUAUGUCUACGAUGAUAUAUAUUAAUUUAAUUGAUUAGACGUAUAGUUUAAGUGGACAGAAGGAUUUAUGUAAUAAUUUCUAGGGUUUUUUACUAAACUAGGCUAAAAAAAUUUUUUGUACUGAAAUAGGGUGUCAGAAAAAUUAUUUACGAAAAUGGGUUAUUUUUUGCAUUGGUACCCAUCUCAGAGGCGCCAAUCAAUAAAAAAUUAUUAAAAUUUUUUUAAUGGCGCCUAUUAGAUAGGCGUCAAUGAAUAUUUUAUAUUAAAUUUUUUUAUAAAAUAUAAUUAAAUUUUUUCUCGGGUCAAUAUAUGACUCGUAUAAUACAUAGUAGUGGCACCUAUCUCAAAGGCGCUAAUGGUGAUGCCUAUCUGAGAUGCGCCAUUAGUAGUGCCAUGUUGAGAGGCGCUAAUGGUCUUAUUUUAUAUAAAAUUUUAUUUCAAAAAAUCAAUAAAAUUACAUUAUAUAAAAGUUACAUUAUAUAAAAAUUAAAUGAGUUAACAACAACUAUAUGAUUAAAAAAGUCAGUUAUAAUUAGACUUUUAAUAAAAUGAUUUUUAAUUUUUUUUUAUAAACUUAUAUGUUAAACUCACCAAAUACUAAACUAAAUACAACAAUUUAUAACUUAAUCCUAAAUUGCUAAUAAAUUAAAUUUUAAAUAAUUACAAACACAAAAAUUUAUAACAUAAUCCUAAAUUACUAACAAAUUAAUUAUAAAAUAAUUACAAUAUUCUUACAAAAUUACAAUAUUCAUACAAAAUACUAAUCAAAAACUAUAAAUACAAAAUUAAUUAUAAAAUAAUUAAAAUAUUCAUACAAAAUUACAAUAUUCAUACAAAAAAUUACAAUAUUUAUACAAAAUUACCCAUUGGCGCCUCCCUAUGAGGCACUUUUAAUGGCGCCUUCUUAUGAGGCACAACUAGUGGCGCCUACCUGAUAGGCGCCACCCGACCUAUUUUCCCCUUUGACCCGUUGACUAUAUUUUCAUCUAUAUUUUUAUUUAAAUUUUUUUAAAAAAAUAAAAAAAUAAUAUUUUAUUAAAAAUAAAAAAAUUUAAUAAUUUUUUAUUCAUUAGCGUCUCUGAAAUAGGCACCAAUGAAACAAGUAAUUCAUUUUCGUAAAUAAUUUUUCUGAAAUCCUAUUUCAGUACAAAAAAAAUUACCCUAUUUUAGUAAAAAAACCCUAAUUUCUGCAUUCAAGACGUACGUUUACUCUUUCGAUAAAGGUAAGUCAGGUUACCUGUCUUUUUCCGCGCAAACCCUGAUUCCAGACCUCGGCCAUUUUUAAUUUGGGUACUUGUAAAAUAAUUUCUACAUCAGUUCCAAAAAUAGAAGACAGAAAUACAAUAAUUCCUAUGGCAGCCGUGUGGUCUCUUCUCAUGCUCCUUUCUUCGUUCUUUGCGGCUAGAGGAGUUGACGACAAGCAUUCAAACGGCACCAUUGGGCUGGGAUAUUCGCUUUCUCCCUUAACUCCACCCACCUCAUUGGCUUCGCCUUCUGAUCGUUUCGCAUUUGGUUUUUAAAGUGAAGGCAAUGGCUUUUCAAUUGGAGUUUGGCUGGAGGGCAAUAGAAAGACAGAUAACAAAGUUGUAUGGACAGCUAAUCUGAAAUAUUAUUAGAGCUAUUAAAUCAAAUUAUCAAUUUCUAAUAAUAUAAAUAUAAAUAUAAUUAAUAAAUAGUGAAAUUGGUCAUCCAAGGCUCAUUAGCAUGGUGUAUUUUUCUUGUUUAAACCGGGGUUUGAAACCAAACUUUUCCUCAUAGGAUAGAUGGGGCGAUUCAAGUGAGAUUCAAUGUAAAUUUAACUUUCUAUUCACUCGUUGAAUUUGGGCAAUUCAGAGGAUCACCACAACUCAUCUCUUCUCGAUAAUCCAUACAUUCCUUAUUAAUGUAUGGUAUAAUUGUGUAUGGUAAAACUUAAACAUAAAUACUUAAAAGAAUUUAAACUUAUGUCUUAACGAACAAACCAAAAACAAGAAAUCAUGGUAUUAAGUCUUCUUAAAAUGAUUGAUUUAGUCUAUCUUGAUUUCAAUUUCUUCAUUUGCAUUUACUUUUUGUUAUUUUCUAAAAAUUCACUUUCAAAUACCAAUUAAAUAAUUUAUUGAUAUAUUUUUUAAAUUUUAUAAUCUUUUAGACUUCAGCCAUUUAUUAUUUCGUCACACUUAAAAAAUAGAAGAGAGAAACGCCAUAUUUCCCAUGGCUUGGGUGUGGGCUCUUCUCUUGCUCCUUUCUUCUCUCUGCGUGAAGCAGUCAAGCAGCAUCAUUUCGCUGGGAUCUUCGCUUUCCUCGGCCACUCAAUCCAUCCCAUGGCGUUCCCCUUCUGGUCGCUUUGCAUUUGGCUUUUACAGUCAAGGCGGUGGCCUUUCUGUUGGAGUUUGGUUAGACGGCGGAGGAAAGAACGAUAACAAAGUUAUAUGGACAGCUAACCGUGAUGACCCGCCGCUCCAUGCAACUGCUACUCUGACACUAAACGAGAAAGGUUUGCUUCUUUCGAGCGGUGUGAGCGGAGAAAAUAAAGUUAUUGCUUCUCCAAAUGACUCGGCUGUCAGUGUCUUCUCUGCCUCCAUGCUAGAUUCAGGCAAUUUUGUGCUCUACAACAAAGUCAAUCAUACCAUUUGGGAGAGUUUCGAGCAUCCUACAGAUACCCUUUUAGGUGGUCAGGCUCUAUUAACUAAUCACGAGUUGAUCUCCAGUUCUUCAGAAAAUGAUCACUCGUCCGGAAGGUUUCAUCUACGUAUGCAACUAGAUGGGAAUCUCGUUCUAUACCCUCUAAACGUCGAUGAUGCUGCUACAACUGCCUAUUGGGCCACAGGUACUAAUGGUGUGAAUCUUUCACUCCGAUUAUUUCUUAACUCGACAGGCUUCCUACAACUUAUCAACAACACUGAUUCCUCCAUCUACCUAGAAAUUAAUUAUAGAUUUUAUCAAGAGGUGAGCUACAAUGAUCACAACGAGAACACCACCACCACCAGCAACGACGGUAUCGUUCACAGUGCAACCCUUGAUGUUGAUGGAAAUUUCCAGUUAUAUACUCAUCAAUUUGAGCCAAGUGGUGGGUUUCGAACUUCCCGAGUGUCGCGCGCGUUGAAGGAUUACUGUAAAGUUGUAGGCUUUUGUGGUAUCAAUAGCUAUUGCACGUUUAAUGAUGACAGAGCUUACUGUGCAUGCCUUCCCGGCACUGAUUUUAUCGAUCCUCAACGCGAUACCCUCGGCUGCAAGAGAAAUUAUAGUGAAGCACAUUGUAAAGGAGGGAAGGACAAUAUACCCCUCUAUAACAUCACUCCAUUGCAAAAUAUAGUCUGGACUACAGGUAUAUUUUACAGUGAAGAGCUAAUGUCCAUGAGUGCCUGCAGCCAAACAUGCUUGGAAGACUGUAAUUGUGAGGCAGCACAGUUUAGCGGUGGAGUUUGCAGGAAACAAAAGCUUCCACUAUGGUAUUUGCUACGACAAGAAGGUGAUAAUGACGUGAGUUCCACAGUUUUCUUGAAGAUGGGAAUCAGAAGCCUAGAAGCAGAUGACGGUACUGUUCCCCAUGAAUUAAAGCCCCAAAUCAAACGGAAAGAUCCGACGCUGAAAAUUCUUCUUUUAACUUUCAGUCUUGUCGCAUGUUCAUGUGCUUUGCUUGCAAUCUCUGGUGUAUUCAUUUUUAAAUUUCGAGUUCUAAGAUACAAAAGGCUGUUGGAAAUUGGAAAUUUGGGCCUAACAGGAGAGCUUACGUUGACGUCGUUUUCAUACAAUGAACUCAAGAGAGCAACGAAUGGGUUUAAAGAAGAGUUGGGUAAGGGAUCCUUUGGAGCAGUCUACAAAGGGUCCUUAAACAGAGGAAGAAAUUUGAUUGCUGUAAAGCGAUUGGAGAAGUUAGUGGAAGAAGGAGAAAGAGAGUUCCAAGCAGAAAUGCGAGCAAUUGGCCGAGCUCACCACAAGAAUUUAGUUCGACUGUUGGGAUACUGUGCUGAGGACUCCAAGAGGGUGUUGGUGUACGAGUACAUGGGCAAUGGCUCCCUUGCUGAUCUACUGUUCAAGUCAAGACAGCGCCCUGAUUGGGAUGAAAGAACAAGAAUAGCCCUGGAUGUAGCUAGAGGAAUCCUCUACUUACAUGAGGAAUGUGAGACCCCAAUCAUUCACUGUGACAUAAAGCCGCAAAACAUAUUGAUGGAUGAUUAUUGGAGAGCUAAAAUUUCGGACUUCGGGCUGGCAAAACUGUUGAUGGGGGAUCAUACAAGGACCUUCACAGUAGUGAGGGGAACUAGAGGAUACAUGGCCCCAGAAUGGCAUAAGAACAUUCCAAUAUCAGCGAAGGCUGACGUUUACAGUUACGGAAUUGUGCUAUUGGAAACUGUGUUUUGCAGACGAAACUUGGACACCACUGUAUCAAACCCAGAGGAGAUCAUUCUGUCGAUUUUGGUGUAUAAAUGUCUGGUUGAAAAAAAGUUGGAUAAGCUUGUGCUUGGUGAAGAAGUAGAUAAGAAAAGCUUGGAAAGAAUGGUGAUGGUGGCACUUUGGUGUAUCCAAGAUGAACCAGCACUUCGUCCUUCCAUCAAGACUGUAGUGAUGAUGCUGGAAGGCAUUACUGAUAUAUGCAUUCCCCCAUGUCCAACUGCUUCCUCCAUAUAAUUCAAGUCACGACCUAACAAUCAAUCAUCUCACUCGGAGUGUUCGUGUAGUUUAUGUUACGUAAGGACUGCGUCAUGUUUGUAUUUCCUCUGGCUUGUAAUAAAUUUGUAAAAUGCUUCCUGCAGCAGUGUUCUCCCUUCAUUUGUAGGUUUAAAAAUUGUGUUCGAGUUAUCUAAUCAUAUAGUAGUUGUAUGUAAUAACUGAGUUUUACUGUAAUUUCUAAUUAAUAAUCUCCUAUUGCUCAAAAUGGUAAAAAACUUGCAAAAGGGUCAUGUAAGCAAAGCCAUCAUGUGUAUGCUAAGACUAAUAAGUCCUUUUGUCUUGGACUUGUUAUGAUCUCAUUAGACAGGAUGUUAGGAAACUGAAUAAUCAUUUUUAAGCAGAGAGAUUGCAUUAGAAUAACAGCGUCCAAGAGCAAAACCAGAACUCAGAGGCUGUGACUGUAGAACAUGUUCCGGUAAAGGUACAUGAGAAUUAUCAAAUUAGGUGAUAUUGGUAUAUUUGCACAAAUGUGCAGUGCCUAUGGUUUGAAAGACGACGACGACGACUACUACUACAUGCCAUACAGCUGAAGCCAUCUUCCUCUUUUUGUGAUCAUAUGAGUAAAUACACAAUACAAAGUUUUGGGUUAAGGCCCAGAAACAAUACCAACAAUGCCCAUUCAUGGCAGCCCAUCUAUACAACUAGGAAGGAACUAAUGACCUAGAAAAAUGGUUAAAUUUCAAUUUAAUCCCUCUACUAUGCUUAAAUUUGACAUUGAAUCUCCAUGCUUUGGCCCUUUUAUUUUUGUAAUGUUAUUAAUAAGUCCAAAUAACUAAUAUAAUUAACUUUUCAAUUAAAAUGUUAUGUGUUUAUAUAUAAUUUAAAUGUCCUAAGGGUCUCAAAGACGAACACGUCUUUUCAUUUUUUUUGGAUUUGUCUUCUUUCCUUUUUUGACAUAAUAAGGCAAUGAUCAGACUUCAAUUUUAGCUCCUAUAGUAUGUUGAAACUUGAUAUUUGAUUUACACACUUUAAUUUUUUGACAUAAUUUGGUACUUCUAUUUUUAUAAUGUCAUUAGUUAGUCUAAAUACUUAAUAUUGUUAACUUAACGAUAUUAAGUAUUUUAAUCAGAAUGCUUACAUCAAAUUUUCUUAAGAACACCAUGCCAACAAAAAAUGUAUUAUUUUAUAAUGAUGAGUUCAAAUAGGUGAUUUUAAGAAAAAAAUUUCACAUAAACAUUUUCAAUGUUAAUUUUUAUUGUUAUACGACUACCAAGUGAUUUUUUUUUUAAAUUUCAAAAUGUCAAGCCAAUGAAUUUAAUAUAAAAAUUUUAAUUGUGGUACAACUUGACCUAAAAGCUUAAACCCGAAAAGUAUAGGGACAAAAUUUUUAAAAAUAAAAGUAGAGGGAUUAAAUUCCAAAUGUAUGAAGUGUAUAAGAACUAGUAUAUUCUAACUUUCAAGGUUUUACACCAUUUCUUUUGGUCGAAACCAAAAUAUUUACCAUUAGUAGCCGUAACUAAUCUCUUUCACCGCAAGUGCUCUCUAAAAAAAUAAACAGUUGGUGAUGAAAUGUGAUUCAUUCACAUUAAUUAUGCAUUUUUUUUACUCCAUUCGAGUAUAAAAUUAAAAGGUAAACUACACAAACGAUCAAUCAACUAUAAAAAAAUUUUAUUUUAGACACAAAAAAUAAAAAGUACGUAAUUUAGUCACUCGUAUUUUAAUCACUCCCAUUAAAAUGGAAGAUGGACGUCCACGUGGAAUUUUUUAAAAAUUAUAUUAAUAUUUAAUAAUUUCCGACUAAUAAAUUUUUUCCACGUCUGAAAUUCUUUUAGCCUAAACCUAAGCUAAUAGUGAAACCAAGGAAAGAUUUUCUUCAUUCUAGUGCUAGAAAAAGAAUUGCAGUCACCCUUUCCCUUUCUCGUCCAAUCUCAGCCUCAACCACCUCCCUCUCUAGUUUCUCAUGCACUGCUUUGGCUUCCUUGAUGUGCCUCAUCCCGGCUUGCCACCCCAAGCUUUUUAUAGUGGAGGUCAGUUUGGGGGUGGCUCUUUACCUCCGGGGGCUCGGUUUUAAAAUUUUUAAAAUAGUAAAGGUAAAAUUGUAAUUUAGUCUUUCUAAAAAUGAUAAAAUUUUGAUUUAAUCUUUUAAAAAUUAUAAAAAUAUAAACUAAUUAAUGUUGAAAUUAUUUUUUUACUAUAUAAAAAUUACAAUUUAAUUUUAACCCCUUAAUUUUUUUUUUCUAAAUUUGACACUGUUAUAUAGAUUACCUAAAACCUAAAUUAAAUGAUAGGUUAAUUUUAAAAUAUUGUUUAUUGUUAAUACAAAAGGGUUGGGAGGAAAGAUAACAUAAAUCAUACUCCACCUUUGCACUAUAUAUUAUACAUGCUUUCUUUAUCAUCAUAAUUUGACAGAUAUAAUACAAAGCAAGUCAAGUCAAGUCUUGUGAAAUAUUGAUAGAAUAAAGCAGGCUUUGUGGGAGACUUAUUUGGUUAUGGUUUAACUUAACAUAUGCUUUUGGCUUGGAGUGAAAUAACAUAAGAUUUGAUAUUUUAUAGCUUCUUGUGGAUGAUAUUAUUAACCAUAUGGCGUGGACGGUAGGCUAGGGAAUUUUUUACUCUUUAUGUCAUCUAUAUUUACCAUUGAUAACCACAAUAAUUUAUUUUUUAAUAAAAACAUGACUUAUAAAAUUUCAACCACUUCACAUUAAAAUAAAUCUGUGGUAAUUUAAAGAUUAAAAGAUGUUAUAUAUUCAAAUAAGAAUUAAAAGAUAGUGUUGGUUUGAAUAGGUUACAAGACAUAAGCAAAGUGUUAGGAAGAAGUGACUAAAUAAGUGGAUAUUUUUUCAAGCUCUAUGGUAACAGAAAUAUAAUAGGAGAUAACAAAAAGUUUACUUACACAGCUCGCGGAGCCUAGCUCAGUGAGAAGUAUCCACUAUCUCCAAACACUUACAGCAAAUGACUCUAAAUUUAUCACACCCAAGUGACAAUUUCCUCACUUUUGUACCUUUGAAUACUAAAACCCUCGCCACUAAAUUCACCCCUGUGAACUAAGCAUGUAAAACCACAACCCAAAGGUUUUACAAUCAAAUGCACUCUUAGAAAUAAUGCUCCUCACUUGAACAGAUUAAGUGCUCUCGAUUCUCGACCAUAAUCCUACACAAGUCUCUCAAUUAUAUAGAGUUGUUCGAGACUUGCUAACAUAAAAAAGAUCUAUAACAAUCUCUAUAAAACAAUCACUAUAUAAGUUGAAUAAAAUAUAAUAAUAGCAAACAAGGUAAACUAGAACGGUUGGUAAACAAGGACUGUUGGUAGAUAAGUUGAAUAAAAUAUAAUAAUAAAAUAUAAGUCUUUAAGGGAUUAGAUAAGUAUGAUUCGAUUCGAUUCGAUCCAACCCUCUUUAUACAUUUCCUCAAAUGAUAUAAGCUUCAUUGGUGGGCUAGAUACGAUCCACAAUCUCAAAAUAACCAAAAUAUCUAGCUCAGUAAAUUGCCAACAACUCAAAUAUGGAAAUAGCCUAAUCUGUUGUAGUUGGCCAGGGAGUGGGCACUCUCUUAGACACUUCUUCAGUUUUUCUGUAUUUUCAACAAUCUCCUCAUUUGGAAAUUUUUUGAACAAAGCACAAACAAAGUAGAAAGCUUAAACAUAAACUAACAACCCGCUCCCUCUUAUUAUAUUUCAUUUUAAUCCAACAAUAGUGAAUCAUGAAAAAUAUAUGCAACCAAAGUAAUCAUCAUUUAUUCACCAAAUGAAAUCCAACCAUUAGAAGUAGAAAAAUCAAGAAUCAAACCUCCAAAACCAUAAGUUCCAAAAAACAACAGUAACAUCAAUGAAUUUGAUGCAAAAUAUGAAUCUCCCUUAUCACCAGUAGCUUCCCCUUACUCUCUUUCUCCCUCUUUUUGAUCAACAAGAUUGCCAACUUAUUCUUCGUUAGGAAGGUAUAUUAGAUUAUCACAAAAAGCCUUUUGCCUAUUUAUGAUCUUCUUCAUAGUCUUAGCUUAAAUAAGGAGUCUGGUAAUGUGCCUAUCAUUGGCUUCAAUAAAGGAUGUGAAAUCCUCAAUCAUGAUUUUAUGAAUAUCAUAGGGAAUAACCUUGGGGCCUGGAGAAGUUGGCACUUCUUCUUGCUCAACAUCAUCAUAUCAAAAUUACUUUCCCUUAACAGCAACAUCUCAUCUCCCCCUCAGUAGACCCUAUUAUAUUUAGACAAUAACAAUUUAGGGCCUUCCUCAUCAUUGUAGGGCUAACUUCAUACCAUUCUCCAUAUAUAAAUACCUUUUAAUGUAACUUACUAUUUUUGUUACUUAAUACUUUACAACAAAUUAACAUAAAACUUCAUAACAACAUUGCAAACACAUGACUUGACAUAACUUAUUGAUCUUAACAAACCACUUUUUCCAAUAAGUACAUCUAUGCCAUGACCAACAAACCCUUCAAAAAUAUGAUAAUAGGUUGGAUGAAAUGAUUUGGUAUCAAAGUAUAAUUGGUAAAUUGUGUAAUGUAUAUGUUUACGUAAUACUAAAGCCUAGAAAUGAGUAUUUGUGUAACUCUUAACUUUGCUAAAAUGACAUAAUUGAGAUAUUGGUUUGGUUGUUUAGGUGUAGCAAAAUGGUACCUUUUGGAUCUUUUGGAAAUAGAAAAUUACGUCGUGACGAGGAAUUAACAAUAAGUUGCAUCAUGACUUGGAAACCCCAAUCGUGACGUCAACUCGAUAGUUUGCAAACUUUAUAUUUUGGUCCUAAUUCGACCUCAAGUUAGAAUAUAUAUGAGCUUUCGUAAGCUCGUAUAAGACUUGAAUAUUAUUGAAAAACAUAUUGUGAAAGCGUAAUGUAGUCAGUAGCAUGUGAAAAAGGUUAAAUUGGAUCGGUGUUGCUUUGACAACAAAAGUGGCAUAUAGAGGGGUGCUCCUAGAGGUUGUGCAUUGGAGUUUUAGCCAAACCACAAAUUAUUUGAGAUUUAUAGUCAAAAUUAUAAAUGAGAUUGUUAAGUAGAAAUUUUAAAUGAUGUAUGUAUUAGUAUCAAUUGAUGUGUUUAGUUAAUCUGCUGGAAAGUGAAUUUUAAAUAAUGUUAGUCAGUUAUCCAGAAUUUGUAUCAUCCGGAACCUGGAUUCGGUGAGCGGGUCAGGAAUUGAAUGUUACAUAAAGUCCGUGACGAAUGCACAAAUAACAUCCCAUGGAGGUCAAUUGAUGAAAUUGGGCUCAUUCGACCCAUUUGAACUGACCCAAUUAGUAGAAACGUGGAAAAGCCCAUAUACUUGAAGCCUUGGUUGCCUAGUGAAACACUUAAUGAAAAUUAGGGUUACCUUGGUAAAUAUGACAAGUAAUCUUAUAAGAUAUAUAAUCCGAUAAGACUUGAUUAUGUAAUAUUAAGGGAUUGUGUAAAACCUUUAAGGAUCUCAAUUGUAGGUAGGUUGGAAUCUUGAUCGUCGAUGUAAUUUAAUCUGUACCAUAGGAUUUGGGGGAGUUUAAAUAUAAAUAGAGGCCUUCCCCCCUCAUUUGUAAUCAUUCAGCUGUAAUCUUUCAUAGUAUUUGAAUACUGUUGAGAGCAUUUACUAAAACACUUGACGUGUUUUUUUCUUUCUUGUGACUUUUCUAUUCUUUUGUUGCUUUUUCGUUUUAAGUUGCUUCCACUUUAUUUUCGAAGCGUUGGAGCAUUUUAUCGAGAAUUCUUACUUUAUGAGAGUUUGGCUGAUAAAGUUCUAGCCCCGUGACAAAGACAGCUACCCCAAACAUCCUUCCAAAAGUUAGUGCUACACCCAUUGGCAAUUGAUGAAUGAAUGUUGCACAUAAUAUCAUCUCAAACUCUUGCAAUGGACCACCAGACAUGAGAAGUAGCUAGCCGAUUAGUAUUGGCUGGACAUGUUUCCACCAUGUUAUAUUUAGAGUGCAAAAUUUGAACCCACAAAGCUUAUUUGUUGGUCAAAAUUGUGAAGCCCAAUUUUAUUAGGAACAAAAUGUUAUUUACAUUCAAUUUUCAAAUACCUAAACCUCGUGCUCAUACGAUUGGCAACAUGGGUUCCAAGAUACAAGAGUUGGCUUCUUCAAUCAAUACCCUCUUAAAUAAAGCUUCUAACAAUGUUCUCAAUUUCCAUACAAAUACCUAUAGGGAUCUUAGUAAUUCGCAUGUAAUAAGAAGAGAUUGAGAAUAACACUGGCUUAGCAAGUGUAACACAAGCCGCUAACGAAAGAAAUCUAGCAUCCCAUCCAUUAACCGCUCACAAACUUUCUCAACAAUAAAACGAAACGUAUCUUUGGUAACCCUUUUAUGAAAAAGUGGAAUACCCAAGUACUUUCUCAAAUUUGAAACUUGUUAGAAGCACUGGGUACUUCACCAUGUUUUAGUAUAUGAGUUAGCAAUAGACUAAUUUCAAUUGGUAAUUUUUAGCCACUCACAUGGCUUGUUUCAAGAAAAAAGGAAAAUUUUCUGUUUAUUUUGAAGAUGUCUUUUUUUUACUAGAGUUUUUACUCAUCUUUCUAAUUUCAAGUGUAAAUUUGCACUAGCUAUUCUUUAUUUUAGUCUAACUAUUUAAUACAUAUGGAAUAAAUGAGCCUUUUCCUUAUGUUCUUACAUGAGAAACCAAAAAAGUCAUAAAUGAUUAAUAUACUAUUUGAUACUUUAUUUUGGCUUCAAUGUUCAAUUUCUACCUCAAAAAUUUUUUUUGUCUCAAUUUGGUAUCUGAGUUUGGAUUUGAUGUUCACUUUAUUACGUAAUUUUUUUCAAUUUCAUACUUGAGUUUUUUUGUCACACACCAAAAUUGGCCUAGAAAUUUUGAGGAUUGAUUAAAUGCUGAAGUUACCUAUUUUAUGUAAUUAAAUUGGUCAAUUUAUGAGAAUGCACAACUGAUUUUUCCAUGUUUAUAUUGAAUUUUAUACAGGGGUGCAAUUUGGGCUAAAUAGAAGAAAAAAAAAGGGGAAACAAUUGGAUUAGAUUGAAGGAAGGAGCAAAAGAAGGCGGGCCGAAAUGGAAUUUUGAAAAGUUGUAAUUAGUUGAAAUUUUCUGAUCGACUUAGUAAGAGAAUAUGUAGGGAUUUAUUUUGAUAUUUAGGAUCAUGGGAAUAUUUUUUCCUUGAUUUCAUGCAUUUUCUAUGGAUAGCUUUUAAUCAGGAAUAUUUGCACAAGCCACAAGUAUAAAUAGGUGGUAUUAUGUUCAAUUCAUCAUCAAGCUUUCAUCUUUUGAAUAUGCUCUUUCAUUCCUUCUCACAAAUUUAUUUGUUGUCAUUGGUUCCUUAUACUUUCAUUAAUUUCCAGCUUUGGAAAUAUUGCACUGGAUGCCAAACCCUGCGUCACCAACCUACACCCCUCCACUUACAUUUUCUUUUUCAACCCUUUUUCAUUCCCAGUAGGCUAAAACCAUUCCAUACCCAAUUAAAAAUUUCAGCUACACACUUAAACCACGCCACCCACUUUUUACCCAUUUCAACCUUAUUUCAUUCAUCCAACCCUCUCCAGAUAUGCCCAACUCCAACAUGCCCCAAACAUUAGUCAAUUAAACCCCUUUCAGCCUUAGGUCGGUGUUAACCCCGUCAAAGACCCCUGAGUUACGAACCCAAGCAACUUAACUUCUAAUUUUCAGUAUUUACUAUUCUUUCGGAUUAAGAGUAUGACUUCAUCAACUCACAAGUCAAAUCAACACGAAGCCAAAAAAGACGUCGUUUGAGUUAGUGUGGUUAGACGUACAGUUGGAAUUUCGAAAGGAUCGAUUGUCUAAUUUGUUUUCUGUGAACACAUUGACGUGCCAAGUGGGGAUUGCCCUUUAGUUCCGUCAAGGGAAGUAGUAACCAAAUUUAAAUGUCCCACGCAGUUGAGGGUAUUGGUUCGAUCUAGGCUCUUCUAGAACGCAAAGCUGUCGGAGUUCUAAAUCACGAACAUUUCGUGGGUUGUUCGAUCAGCAAGGGUUAGUUAUAGGACGUUCCAUAACUAAUUUAUAUAAGGAAGAGUUGGUGUCUGAGGCGUCCUUGGUAACUUUAACUAGCUUAUUGGAAAAGAUGAGUUCAUCUAAUUUCGAGGAUCGGUUCAAAGACCAAAAAAACCCGUGCCUGAAGCUGAGCUAAAUUUAAUUGAUUUUUCUUCAAAUUUACUUAACUAUUUUUUUAUUUAAUUGUCUUCAGCUUUUACUUUUUACUCUGUUAUUUCAGGUUUCAUAUUUUAUCCCCCCGAACUUCUUGGGCAAAAGACCUGCCCAGACAUAAAUCUGGUCGAGAGAGAAACAAUUUUCAGUAAACUCAGUCUCUGAGGGAUCAACCGUACUCCCUAUACUGCUUAAAUUUGCAAAUUAGACGUGGGAUUAUAUUGGUGGAAUCGACAACCAUCAAGGGUAAAUUGGGAAUUUUGGCUCAGAAUAGGUUCAGAGAUUUUGAAUUGUGGUAACCUGAAAUUAUUUUUUACUGUAUUUUUUUUAAAUCAAGUCAAUUUUUUAAAAUAGAAAGAAAAAUUCUAAAAGGUGAUCCUUUUAAAUUUUUACUAUUUUUAUUUUAUUUUUUAAAUAAAUAUAAAAUAAAAAAAGGGGGUCAAAAACCUACUUGGCCCUUCAUGUUCUGCCACCGUGAGUAGCCGAGAACCAUCAUCUCCAAUGAAAGAUGACAUCUUUCGGGUAAAAGGGUCUUUGAAACCCAGAAAACGAAAGGUUUUUUAGGGAUUUCUGUUAUUUUGAUGAGUUUUUUUUUUUAGAAAAUAACCCCAGAUUUGGGUUUGGGGAACAAAAAGGCCAAAGAGCGGCCAUUUUUGCAUUUUUCGGCUUCAAAACAAGAUAUAAGUAACGAUCAAUUGGUGUUUAUUUUCGUUUUCGAGGAUUUAAGGAAUUGUGUCCUAACUUAUGAGACGUGAUCCUUUUUCUCGAUUAACUUGAAAUAAGCCAUUUUCGGAAAAAUUACUUUAGUUAGAUAUUGCCUUAAUACAAAAAAGAUCGUGUUUUAAACUCUUUUCAAAGUUUCAAUUUACGACACUAAGACAUUAAUUAAUCAACUAGGUACCAAUUUUGCGUGUUACGAGGGUGCUAUUCCUUUCUCGUGCGUAACUGACUCCCAAACCGAUUUCCUGAAUUUUGUAGACCAAAAAUCGUUGUUUUAGUAAAUCAAACUAUUUAUUAAAACGAUCAAAUUACGAGGUGAUCUGAUCACACCUCAUAAAAAGGAUUGGUAACGACUCCCAUUUUCGUUAUUUUAAAUAAAAAGUUAAUUUAAAAAAAAGGGGGUUUCAACAUCAGAGAUUAGAUAAUUACGUUGUUUGGAUUUUAGUUCGCAGAUUCGUAAUAUUUAAAGUUAUUUAAUGAAAAUAAAUUAAACUGUAAAAGAGAAGAAGAGUGAGAGCUUUCGAUUGAAAAACAUACAACAACAAUUUUAAUAACCCAAUGACUUAAAUGAAAAUUUUCAAAUUAUUUAGCGAUCAUUUUAUAACUUUUUGAAGUUAAGUGACCAAAAAUAUAAGCUUAUUAAUAAUUUAAAAACUUUAAAUAAAAUUUACCCUUAAUAAAUAAAUAAAACACCCAAGGAAUUCCUGAUCUUAUUUGUGAAAGUAAAAGAUCUACCAUUAAUUUAGUGAAGACGUAGUAUAAUUGAAGUCUUCUGCUUCAAUUGGGCGACGACUUGACCAAAACUUUAUUUGAAGUAUUAAUUAUGAAGUACUUGACCAAAACUUGACCAAAACUCUUACGAAUCUUUUAAUAUUCCUUGAAAGUGACAAAAUUAAUGGUGCUUUCGAUUUUAUUAAUGUAACAAAAUCUAUCACCCAAGAAAAUAUUAAACUUUUAAUUAUAGGAUAGGUAAUUUUUGAAUGUUUCUUUUGCUUUUUUUAUCUUCAAUAACUCAUAAAAUUAUGGGAAAGAUUACAUUACUUGAUAUAUAUACACACAAAUAUAUUAUAAAUUUAUUAAAAUCUUCAUAUCAUUUUAAUAAAUUAUGAAAAAAUAUUAUAAAGCUUGACGUAAACACAAAAUAGAUAACAAUUAUUUUGUAAAUUGAAUUUUAAUAAUAAACAAUGCAAAAUUUUUAUAAAGUAAAAAUAAAUAUUAUAAAUAGAAUACUAAUUUACAACAUAAAUAUUUUUUUUCAAAAUCAAUAUUCACUCGAAUAAUAUAAUUAAAUUCAAUACAUAUAUAUUGCUAAUUCACAAAAAAAAAAUCUAAUAUAAAUUUAACCCUUAAAAGUUAAUAAUUUUAAUUUAUUAAACAACACUUUAAUAAAAUCCCCCAACUUUAAUCAAAAUGAAAGAAAAAAAAUUAGUAUUUUCUUCUUCUUUUUUUUUUAAAAAAAGGAGGUAUUAUUAGUAUUUACUUUCAUAAUCAUCUAAAUUAUGUUUUCGACACAUUCAAUGAAACAAUUACACCAAGUAAAUGAACAUAUAAAACACAACACCUUCAAUACACCGACUCUUAUCCAAUAUGAUGAGCAUUUCUUUUAUUCGUUCUUGCAAUGUUAGGAACAACGACCAAAAUAAUAUCGUACCAAUGGUUAAGAGUGUAUGAGAUAUGGCCGGAAGUCUGCAGAAGGGAAAAUGAUGUUAGAAAACGAAAAACUUUCUCAUCCGGACAUGUACUAUUUUUAGUUUACCCUUAGGCUUAGCUAAGCAAAUUCAGAGGAGGGCUUCUUCUCCCUUAUCUCCUUGCUUACACCCCAACCUUAGUUAUGGCACAUGUACCGUCAAAUAUUAUUCUCUUGCUGUUCCUUCUGGUUUCUUUCCAUGUUAAUGUCAUAGCUGAAGAAGACGAGGCAAACAUUAUCAAACCCGGUUCUUCACUUUAUGCCGGAAAACAGCCUAGUUCGUGGGCCUCACCUUCGGGGAAUUUUGAAUUUGGUUUCUACCGGCAAGGAGAAGGAUAUGCGGCCGGAAUAUGGCUUGUUGGUCGACCAGAAAACACCAUUGUCUGGACUGCAAAACGAGAUGAUCCGCCUGUCUCCUCAAAUGCUACUUUGGAAUUCACUAGACAAGGCGUAUUGCUUCUUCGGACUGAGGACGGGGUGGGAAAUGUCAUUGCGAAUCUGUCCGGCGUGCAAUUUGUUGAUUCAGCUUCGUUGCUGGACACCGGGAAUCUAGUUCUCUAUGAGAACAGGUCUGUUGUUUGGGAGAGCUUUGAUAUCCCGACCGACACAAUCUUAGGAUGCCAGAAUUUAAGCCUUGACAGUGAGUUGAUUUCCAGUGUGUCAAGUUCAAACCACUCAACUGGCCAUUAUCAUUUGCUCUUGAAGUCUGAUGGGCUUGUAGCCAAUUUAAAUAUUUCUUCUGCAGCUGCCUAUGAGUACUGGGUCUCCCCUAAUGGCUUUUCUUCCCCCGUGUUGAAUCUCAAUGAAAGUGGCGUUCUAGCACUGUCUUCAUCACAAAAUUUCGACCAAGAAAAUGUUUUGGCAAACGGCUCGACAACUGGGAACGAAACAAUGAUUAUCUAUAGAGCAACCCUUGAUCAUGACGGUGUUUUCAGAUUGUACUCGCAUCAACUUGAAAGCAAUACUAUGUCAAACAAGUGGCAGAAUUUGGAUGAUGAAUGUGAGGUUCCAGGUCGGUGUGGGUUGAACAGCUACUGCUCCACCAGCAGGGGUAACGAUACUGAGUGCUAUUGCUAUCCUGGUUUCAUAUUUAUCGACGAGAAUGCCAAAUUCCUGGGUUGCUCUCAGAAUUUCACUGUAGAUGGGUGCGAGACUAAGAGAGAUGUAGUGAUACACCACAACAGCACUACCUUAGACAAUAUGUCUUGGGCUGGUAAUCUUUAUUCUGUGAAGCGUAAUCUGGAGAGGGAAGACUGUAAGAAAGCUUGCGAGGAUGAUUGCUCCUGUGGUGGAGCUCUCUAUACCCCAAAUCACUGUAGCAUGUAUUCAUUACCGCUUAAAUAUGGUAGAAAACAUGUAAGUAUAACAACCACAGCCUUCAUCAAGUUGAUUCCGGGUCGUAGCACCAUUAGCCCCCCACCUGAAACAAGUCCAAACCAAAGCCUUAUUCUAACUAUGGGCUUAAGUUUGGGUUCCGUUGCAAGCUUGUGUUUUGUGAUUGCAAUAUGUAGCUUCUUGUUAUACAGGCAUCGAGUCCAAAGUUAUGAGAAGCUUUUAGACAGUAAAAGUUCAGGAUUUGCCGAGCAAUUUACACUACGAUCAUUCACUUUAAAUGAGCUAGAUGAAGCAACACAAGGUUUCCAAGAUGAGUUGGGUAAAGGCUCAUUUGGAGCGGUUUAUAAAGGAACUUUGCCAGGGGAUGGUAAAAGUAUUGCUGUUAAGAGAUUAGGAAUGGUUAAGGAAGGAGAAAGGGAUCAGUUUCGAACUGAGAUGACAGCCAUUGGAAGAAAUAACCACAGGAACUUGGUCCGAUUGCUUGGAUUUUGUGUGGAAGGUUCAAGGAAGUUCCUUGUUUAUGAAUACAUGAGCAAUGGCUCACUAGCGGAUUUUCUAUUCAACAGGAAUGAACGCCCGGUUUGGAAACAGAGAGCCAGAAUAGCGUUGGACGUGGCUAAAGGUAUCCUUUAUUUACAUGAAGAGUGUGAGGUGAGUAUCAUCCAUUGCAACAUCAAGCCCUGCAACAUACUCUUGGAUGAUUCAUUGACUGCAAAGAUUUCGGAUUUCGGAUUGGCAAAGCUAUUGAGGCCUAAUCAAAGAAGCAGUACAAGUGGAACAGCAUGGUACCCGGCACCUGAAUGGCAAAACAGUGCAUUGUUAUCGGUAAAAGUUGAUGUAUACAGUUUCGGAGUGAUACUGUUGGAGAUCAUAUGUUGCAGAAGAAACAUAGAAGUAGAAGGUCGCAGUGCAGAUGAGAUACUGCUUUCAACAUUUGUAU